GACGGAGGAUGCAAGUGUUAUCCGGAAUCACUGGGCGUAAAGCGUCUGUAGGUGGUUUAAAAAGUCUAUUGUUAAAAAUUGAGCUUAACUUCAAAGAUGCAAUGGAAACUUUUAAACUUGAGUAUGGUAGGGGUAGAGGGAAUUCCAGUGGAGCGGUGAAAUGCGUAGAUAUGGAAAGACCACCAAUGGCGAAGGCACUCUACUGGGCCACUACUGACACUGAGAGACGAAAGCUAGGGGGAGCAAAUGGGAUUAGA
rnacentral:rRNA from 1 species